UACGUAGGUGGCGAGCGUUGUCCGGAAUUACUGGGUGUAAAGGGAGCGUAGGCGGGAGAGCAAGUCGACUGUGAAAUCUAUGGGCUUAACCCAUAGCUGCGAUCGAAACUGUUCAUCUUGAGUGAAGUAGAGGCAGGCGGAAUUCCUAGUGUAGCGGUGAAAUGCGUAAAUAUUAGGAGGAACACCAGUGGCGAAGGCGGCCUGCUGGGCUUUAACUGACGCUGAGGCUCGAAAGCGUGGGUAGCAAACAGG
rnacentral:rRNA from 1 species